GGAAGUAAAAGUCGUAACAAGAGCUCCGUUGGUGAACCAGCGGAGGGAUCAUUACAGGACUCGCAAGACUCCUACAACCCUGUGAACUUAACUAUAAGCACGUUGCUUCGGCGGGUGUCUCGGAGGGGGUUCUCCCUCCCCGAGACGCUAAACCCGCCGGCAGCCUACUAUACUCUGUCUCUUUGCGUUGGCAUCUCGAGUACAAUCAAACAAGUUAAAACUUUCAACAACGGAUCUCUUGGUUCUG
rnacentral:misc_RNA from 1 species